rnacentral:rRNA from 1 species
GAUGAACGCUGGCGGCGUGCCUAAUACAUGCAAGUCGAGCGAAUGGAUUAAGAGCUUGCUCUUAUGAAGUUAGCGGCGGACGGGUGAGUAACACGUGGGUAACCUGCCCAUAAGACUGGGAUAACUCCGGGAAACCGGGGCUAAUACCGGAUAACAUUUUGAACCGCAUGGUUCGUAAUUGAAAGGCGGCUUCGGCUGUCACUUAUGGAUGGACCCGCGUCGCAUUAGCUAGUUGGUGAGGUAACGGCUCACCAAGGCAACGAUGCGUAGCCGACCUGAGAGGGUGAUCGGCCACACUGGGACUGAGACACGGCCCAGACUCCUACGGGAGGCAGCAGUAGGGAAUCUUCCGCAAUGGACGAAAGUCUGACGGAGCAACGCCGCGUGAGUGAUGGAGGCUUUCGGGUCGUAAAACUCUGUUGUUAGGGAAGAACAAGUGCUAGUUGAAUAAGCUGGCACCUUGACGGUACCUAACCAGAAAGCCACGGCUAACUACGUGCCAGCAGCCGCGGUAA